AUGGAGGAUGUUCAGAAAGAUUACAAGAGCCAGAAGCCUAGCAAAGACAACUUAGAUGUGUGUGACCUGCAUCACCUAGGGAACAGGACAAAGUAUUGAGAGCAGCCUCCUACUUGGGAAAAUUGGACCAGAACAAUGGCUCUUCCAGUGCCUGUUCUUUCACUCCUAUUUUGUGUUGUGGAGAAGAAAUCCCCUUUAUGCAUAGAGAACUUUUCCUUGGUAACAGACCUGGAGCAUCCUGUGCAGAUUCUGUCCAGGGCCUGUCUUGUGAUAAUCCAGUUGGAAGCUUCCUGGGACUUCCAAUUGGAAGCUUCCUGGGGACUUCCUUUCCUGCAAUCACAGCUCCUCUCCUACACACAGCAAGUUUCUAAUGCUAUUCUUGCCAUUAACCCUACUGUGUGCAAAGUGCAUUGACACAGAAAUCUGCUGCAUCUCUGA
rnacentral:lncRNA from 1 species